rnacentral:tRNA from 1 species
GGACAGGUGCCCGAGUGGCUAAAGGGGGCAGACUGUAAAUCUGCUGGCUUCACGUCUACGAAGGUUCGAAUCCUUCCCUGUCCACCA